GCUCACUUUACUCUGCUCACUUUAAAUAUUAUUUAUAUUUAUAUUAGUUCAUAUUUCUAAUUAUUUAAGCAGGAGCAGCCAAAGCGCAGGAGGAAAUUGAAUUUAACUCAUGAAUAAUUGCCAGUGGCUGCAGCAUAGCACAGCACAGCUGGUUCAGAUCACAGGCGAUAUACUCGAGCGAGGCGUCCGUGAUGCGGGGACACCAGGACAGGUCCAGGGCGCGCAGC